rnacentral:pre_miRNA from 1 species
GCAGUACUUCCUCCGUCCAACAAAAGAUGUUUCAAAUUUAUCAAAAUUUGGAUGUAUCUACACAUGACUUGGUAUACAGAUGCAUUUAAAUUUUGUCAAAUUUGAGACAUACUUUGUUAGACGGAAUAGGUAGAAG